rnacentral:rRNA from 1 species
GACAGAGGGUGCAAACGUUGCUCGGAAUUACUGGGCGUAAAGCGCGUGUAGGUGGAUUGGUGUGUCAGAUGUGAAAGCCCUGGGCUCAACCCAGGAACUGCACCUGAAACUACCAGUCUUGAGUGGUGGAGAGGGAAGUGGAAUUCCUGGUGUAGUGGUGAAAUGCGUAGAUAUCGGGAGGAACACCAGUGGCGAAGGCGACUACCUGGCCUGUUCUUGACGCUGAGGCGCGAAAGCUAGGGGAGCAAACGGG